AGAGAGAGACAUGCGCGCAUAUCAAUAAGCGGAGGAAAAGAAACUAACAUAGGAUUCCCUCAGUAACGGCGAGUGAAGCGGGAAGAGCUCAAAUUUGAAAUCUUCAAGGUUCUACCUUUACGAAUUGUAGUUUAAAGAAGUGUUUUCUGUUGAAGUUUUGGUAAAAGUUCUUUGGAAUAGGACAUCAUAGAGGGUGAGAAUCCCGUAUUUGACCAUUAUUUCCAGCUUUGUGAUACACUUUCAAAGAGUCGGAUUGUUUGGGAAUGCAGUCCAAAAUGGGUGGUAAAUUUCAUCUAAAGCUAAAUAUUGGCGAGAGACCGAUAGCGAACAAGUACCGUGAGGGAAAGAUGAAAAGAACUUUGAAAAGAGAGUUGAACAGUACGUGAAAUUGUCAAAAGGGAAGCGUUUGACACCAGUGUUGUUUUCUCGAAAAUCAAUUAAAAAAGGCAGGAUUUUGUGUUGCUAUUGACUUUAUCAGCUUUCUGCACUCUUUUCUUGUCUUUUUUAAUGCACUUUUCGUUUAACAAGUCAACAUCAAUUUCUUUUGUUGUAAAAGGGUCAUUGGAAGGUGGCUUUCUUUUCGGAGAAAGUGUUUAUAGCCUUUGGCCUCUGCAAUCGGAGAGAUUGAGGUCUGCAGCGUAGAUCCUUCGGGGUUAGAUACAUUUGUGCUAAGUUAUAGCCUUUUCAUAGACAACUUGUUGACUAUGAUCAGUCAUGUAGCUUACUCGCUUAUGCUAUUUUACCUACGCUUAGGAUGUUGAUGUGAUACUGCGAGC
rnacentral:rRNA from 1 species